CGGGAUGUAGCGCAGUUGGUAGCGCGCUGCGUUCGGGACGCAGAAGUCGCAGGUUCAAAUCCUGUCAUUCCGACCA
rnacentral:tRNA from 1 species